rnacentral:rRNA from 1 species
UACGUAGGGUGCGAGCGUUAAUCGGAAUUACUGGGCGUAAAGCGUGCGCAGGCGGUUUUGUAAGCCAGAUGUGAAAUCCCCGGGCUUGACCUGGGAAUGGCAUUUGGGACUGCAAGGCUGGAGUGUGGCAGAGGAGACUGGAAUUCCUGGUGUAGCAGUGAAAUGCGUAGAUAUCAGGAGGAAUACCGAUGGCGAAGGCAGGUCUCUGGGCUGACACUGACGCUCAUGCACGAAAGCGUGGGGAGCGAACAGG